GGAGACGUGUCCGAGUGGCCGAAGGAGCGCGAUUGCUAAUCGCGUGUAGGUUCAAAAAGCUUACCGAGGGUUCGAAUCCCUCCGUCUCCGCCA
rnacentral:tRNA from 1 species